ACCUUUCUGAUGUCCUCCCUAUGUCCCUGCAAUUGCUCAUGGUGACUGCCAUGUCUUCAUCCGCAGGACACAUAUUUUGCUCGUUUCCGUUUGCAGAUUUCAUAUCUGCUGUCCUCCCUUGGCUUUCUUUGAUUACUUUUCCCAGUGUUUCAGGUCUCCGUCCCAAGCAUCGGGGAACCUGGGUUGGCGAACCCGAAGGUCUAGACAGGAUGGAGAAGAGACAGCAGAGAAGACCGGAUCAGCAAGCUGCUCCUAGACAAGCUGUUGGCUCACUUCAAGUCGGCAGCUGGUAUCAUCUCCACUGCACUCAAUACUGAAAGUGUCCCUGGAAUGGCCAGUGAGGAGAGACAGGAAACUUCAUGGGUGAAUGGAUCCCAGAAAUAUUCCUGCCAGGAUCCUGCAUGUCACUCUACAGGCCAGGACAGAGGAUCAUGCAUUUACUCUGCGGAUGACAUGGGAGGAUCAGUGGGUGUUGAAUGCUGCUGCAAUCGUCUCUGUUUAGGGCACCGGCUUCCUGUUGCACUCUCUCUGAAAUGGUGGUUAUUUGGUUCUUAACGGCAGAAAUGUCUUUUCCAGAGUGGUGGAGUGUGGCAGUGAGGGAGGCUGGAAAGUCGAAAAGUGAGAGGGUA